GUGACUCCUUCUGCCUUCCUGUUCUUUCUUUUCUCCUCUCUGUUAGUCCCACCUAUACUUCCUGCCUAGCCACUGGCCAAUCAGUGUUUUAUUUAUUGACCAACCAGAGCAACACAUUUGCCGUACAGAACAUCCCACAGCAGGUGGGUAUGUGAACCGCCACGGGCAGGAGUUUCCAGGGCAACACUAAAGCAAUGGAGAUGCCGGUUGGGACAACUGUACCUUUUCUUUACCCCACACUAUGCCCAAAGAAACGGGGCUAGCUGACACAGACCGAAACCUCCAACAUGGCGACUCAAAUGACCUCCUUGCAAGCUGAUUGUUUCGGAUGUUUUGUGGUAGAGAGAGAAACAACUGACACGGAGAAGAAACACCAAAGAAGAACUGCUCCUCUACCUGUGACAUGAGUCUGUGUUGAGGAGUUCGCUCCCAGUUUCCAUUCACUGUGUCAUUUACUUUGUAAAAUAAUAGAAUAUUACCCAUACUUAA